GUGGGAUACGGAGACAUGUAUCCAACUACAACGUCUGGUAAGUAUGUGGCAUGUUUUGCCAUGUUAAUGGGGGUGUUGGUGGUUGCCUUUCCUGUGUCAGUUUUUUCCGAU